ensembl:lncRNA
UUGCAGAUUGCCUGUAGCAUUUUAUUUUCUGCAUGCAAAAUGUAUGCGUUUGGCACGGGAAAGCUUUUAAACCAUAUAGAAAACAAAAUCUGCUGCUAUUGCGAGAGCACAUGCGAUGCAGAAGUUGACAAAACGUAUCUGAGCAUGGGACAUCACGUGGGGCUGAGGCACAGACAUCUUCCUGCUUUGCUCCUUGGCUUUGGGCCCUGCAGGGCAGGAAAUCUGCACAGCUGGAGGAGUUCAGAUGGCUGAGUUCGCAGCGCAACAGCACUGUGGAAGAGCGCCAGCUGGAACUGCCAUCUGAGCUGGGUGCCGUGCUGAGCCACCAGGACUCGUUGGACUUCAGAAACAGAAGGACUGGGAACAAAGGUAACUUCAGCGCAGUAGCGGAACCCAGCUUCCCUCCCCAUUGCUUUUCCCCAUUUCUCCUCUAUAUCCUUCUUUUCCUUUGCGCAGGGGACAAGUGGUUGCUUUAUUGUUCCAAAAGUGCACGUUGAAAGGAGAAAAAAACAUGUAGUUUCUGGUAGAAAUAUCGAGAACAAGAAAACUGAAUAUACAAAGCUAAAAUAAGCAGAAGUACAACUUCUAUAAAUAUCACGCGUAGCUAGGGAUGAAGAGAAUAGGAAGAAGAUGUUGACAGAAGUGAAGCAAGAAUUUUGGGGUGGGAUACAAAACGAUAUGAGACAAAACAUGAGCCUCUGGGCUGCCCUUCCCUGCGUGGCUCAUUGCAUGUCACUCUGGUAGCCCAGCAAUUGUCUGCUCUCCAGUGCUUUGACAGAACUGGGAGGUCUCUUCUGCAGUCCCUCGUGGCCAAUCCAGCGUAGUGGGUAAGAAAGCAGCAUCAGAAGAGCUAGUGCACUUUGGAGUUGCUUGUGUCAAAAGAUCAAGUCCUACCUAGGCUUCUUCCAGAAUCCCAAACGUGGUCAGAGUGUAGCAGUGAAGUAAAUUUUACCUUCUGGCCAACUGUUAGCUCUGUGUUUAGCGUUAAAUUCUUGCUGACUUCAGUCAGAAACUGGUUUUCUUUGCCGCCACACCCCCCCCUUUUCCCCCCCCCCAUUGUAGUUAGUGAGACAAGCACCAGGCUCAGAGCAAGCUGAGAGAUGCCUGCUGCUGGGCGGCCAGCAGGAGCUGUGGAGCAUCUCUCCCAUGGUGUGAACCACUUUGGUUUAGAUCUGAUAUUUUCUGCUCAAGUGGUGUAUGUGAACAAGCAGGAUCCCAAUGCAUUUCCAGUAUUUUCAGCUUGGGAAAUUCGCAGUAAGACCAUUUUUUUUCCUGUAAUCCUCUUGUUGCGAAGAUGGUUUUUGUGUUGUGGCAUGCCCUGGGGGAAAAAGGGAAGUUUGUAAGUAUUUCAGGGGUUUUAACAGUGUUACUUCAAACUGCAUACUAUCCUAAUAGCUACUUGCAAAGUUCUUGUUUAUUUGGGAACGACCUGUAUCGCAUCCAUAAAACCAUUAAUGUUUAACACUAAAAUAUCUUGAGAAGAUUUUAUUAAGGAUUUGCUUUUUCUGUUGAUCUUUCUGAAAUAGCUUUUGAGCCCCUUUUGGCUCUGACUUUCCUGGCCCGCAGCUGUUGUCUUCCAACUAUAACAAAUGCACACUGCACCUCCUGAGGUCUUACUUGGAGCCUAAGUGGAAAAAUAACCCUUAGUGAAAUCCCGUUAGAGAUGUGUUGUGCUCCAUCUGUGGAGCUGGGGUAUCAGAAGUGUGAACAAAGGUUAUUCUUUGGUUCCUGCGGGGGAGCAAGACUUGUCUUGUCUAGAGUUGCCUUCUAGGAACCAUGUCAGUAAAGAAGAAUGCUGGCUCUUCCCACUUUCUCAAUUUUCAGAUCACGUUUGUCAGCCUUAUAGUGAAAGGAUACUAAACUGAGUAUACAAAACUUGCAAGAUGGGAGUGAUCAGCUGGCCAGCGUCGAAGGGAUGGAUUUGUAUUCGUGUCUCAGCAGUGCAAGCAUAAUGGUAAUGUUCAGGUACUUGGGCAAAGCAAUGACAUGGGCAGUGCCAGGGCUCUGACUGUGGAUCAGUGACAAUUCGCUCUCCCUCCUCCCCUCCACUUUUUCCUUCAUUCAACCAAGCAGCAUAAGUGCUUAUUGCUGCAGAAUGUAAGUGCUGCCUUGCAACAACCACAUGCAACCUAGGGUACAGGCUUUUUUGGUAUAUACAAAAACCAUCUUGUUAUUAUGACUGUCUUCGUCUAAGUAUGCUACUCCCAGAGAAGAGUUACCAUGUUCUUAGGGCUCAACGCACACUGCCAUCAGACACUGCACAGCAGAAUUGUCCUUUUGCUGGCACAGCCUUCAGUUUCAGCCUGAGUAGCAGCUCAUCUGGCGUUUGUCUUCACAUGUGAGAGAAAAACACCAAGACAAUUGCUCUCUGCAAGUCAGAGAGCUGUUCAGAUGAGCUGGGGUAUCUGGAUGUCUAAGCAAACCUGCAUCAAAGUACAGAAUGCCUUAGUGCCGUGUUAUUUGUGUUUUUGCUUUUCACGUGUUGUCUUGCAACAGCAGGGGGUGUUUGCUCCAGGGCUGUGGUUUCCUGGUGCAUGUUGUACCUUACGUGGUUCGUGGUCACUCUGGUGGGUAGGAGCAGAGGAGCCCAGCUGGGAUUGCCAGCUCUGAAGUGUUUGAGCUUCCUCAGCAAAGCCUGCAUCAGCCUGAAGCGCACAUAGCUUCUCUCCUGGAGGAGACUAUGUGAAGAGGUGGGAGAAGGGGAAGAUAUAUCCCUACCUGGAGUAUAGGAAAGGGCACUGAGAAAACACCUGUAAAGGAAGGAAUCUAAGCAGGGCCAGCAUUCACGGUGCCAGGCUUCAGACACUUGGAACACAGGGUGUUUGGGCUGUGUAAUAGAUCUUCUGUUGGAGCAAAAGCAAGUAAAUGUGUUCUAAGGGCAUGGGUGAGGGGUGGAGAUAGUAACUCAAAACAUGUGCAAGGAAAACACAAAGAUGAGAUCAGCUGUGAGGGAAGGAGGCCAAAGUCUGGGUAAAAGUGGAAAAGAAAUGAGGGAGGCAGAAUAGGGAAAGUUAUCCCGCCUGCUUUGACAGUUCAGGGACUAAAGCCACUGUACAUGUCAACGGUUUAAUGCAAGCAAUGGAUCAGAAACUAUAUUUGUGUGAAGUAAACUGAAGUGACUCUGACAUCCACACCUGUUACAAAAUGAUGGCGCUCUUCCUGGAAUGGAAAGGGAAGUUCACACACUGGAGAGUGGUAGUGGUAUAAAAAGUAGUAGAAGGGAGGGCUUUAUUACUCUCCUAGUCAUCCUUAACCCUUUUCUGAUGGAAAAUGUUGCAUCAACUUAACAACUGUUCUCCUGCUGUGCAUCCUGGGUGAGGGAGAGUGCGUGACGCCUGCGGCACAGCCUUGCCGUUGGUCCUGCAGGGAGCCAGCAUGGGACAAAGCAGAAUGGUGAGGGGCCUGGAGACCUUUCACGGCUGUGCCUGAAGCCCUGGUGGAAAGAUAGACAGGAGAAGAGCUGGUAAUGCUAUUUUCUACACCAGAGUGCCAAGAUAGUGUAACAAGUAAUUUCUGUAACAGCCAGAUGUGACAACAGCAGGAGCAGCAACUGGAAGAUCACAGUGCAUCUGGAUAAGGGAAUUUUACAUCUUUGUUUUGGUCACUGUUAAUUUCUUCCUGUUCUUAAUAAUCAUGCUGUCAAAUGCCCCUUCCUUUCAGCAAGUGGGUGUGCAAGGAGCCAUGUCGGUAGCCAUGUGCGUGUGUGAGGAGCUGGUUGUAUCUCACAAACCAAUCUGGAGGAGUAAAGUGAAGGUUUGCAUGGCCACCAAGUCAGGCUGUGGGGCAAUUUUGAUUUAAUUGUGUGCCAUAUAUGGCAACGGGUAUCGUUGUAUUUUUCAGCUUAGCUUUUUCUAACAGUUUUAGGUACCUCAUGUGGGGAAAGCAGUAUCUUUUAAAGAAUGCAUUCUAUAUUUGGUAAUGAUUCAAGGCACGAAUGUGUCUGAAGGAAAAAGGCUUUUCAAGUGGAGUGCUGCUGGCUCAAAGGUUCCCCAGCAAACUCUGCCGGGCUCUGCCUCUGAGCCGGGCUGCCCUCUCCCUGGCCCGAGCCUUGAGGGAUCAAUUCGGAAACUGUUUGACACUCUGCACGAUAUUCUUCAAUGGCCUCUUUCUUCUCUGGAAGAAAGAUGCAUGGAAAUGUCAGAGAGAAUUAACAGCUGGGAUGAGUGGGUGGCAAGGACUGAAAACUGUACGGAGACGAUUGAGAGGGGCACUGUCCCACAAGGAAGCAGCUACUAAUACUGCACAGGUGGGUUUGAAAAUAUUGGUUUGGUUUUGUUUUGAAGCAUAAUACAGCCUUAAAUUAAAAUUAAAAAAAAAAAAAAGAGGAAAUGAAAAGUGGAAAAACGAGUUCUGAACAGGCUCUAAUCUCCAGCCAGUAUCUUGGCAAUAGCACUAAUUGACAAAAUGUUGAGAGUGGCUUCUGUUAACAUUCAGACUGAAAAGCACCUGGUUGGAUGUAAUGUCCAGGGCUGUUAUGAUACACUUCCUAUGCACGAAUGUGUGGAAUGGCCCAACGUGGGGUGCCUGGGCCCGGCGGUGGCUCUGCGGUGGGCUUUGCAUCUCCCCUUCAGAUGCUGAAGCACCCAAGGGCACGCUGAGCUGCUGUGGGAUUUGGAGCCGCUGGAGGACCCACAGCGAUGCCUUCCACUGUUUGGCUUCUGCAGAGCUACAGUUUUCCUUUGGCAUCCAAGAGAGAAGAGAUGUCAGACAGUUGAUACCAGAGCUGCCACCUGACUCGUCGCUGAAUGCCAAAGCACGCCUCUGUGUUCUACUUAACACUGGUAGGUCAAUAGACUUUCCUCAAAGUCAUUGCAAAAGUAAGUGUGCCACCUUCAGAGCUGGACAGCAAUGGAUUAGAAACACAACUUAAACCCAACCCGGGCACUCCUGUGAUCUGCAGAGCUCGUGGGGCUUGGCUUCCCUUGGGUGAUCUCUUACUUGGAUUCUCCCAUGUCUAGCAGGCUGGAGGCUCUGAUUGCAGUUUUUCUGUGGGUGGGUAUUCAUUAUAUCUUUCAUCUUUGCAGCUUUCCCGGUGUUUAAUAAGGGUUUAACUCAAGCUGCAGCGGGUCUCAUCUCCCUUGCUUAGCAGUCUGUUUUCACAAAAUGUAUAAGAAUGUAAUUUUUUAGAGCCUUUUAUUGCUCCGUCAGAUGUGGUUAAAACUGGCUGUUUGUUCUCGCUCCCCCUUCCUCUUUCAUAACAUGCAGGUAUGCACAUGCAUGUAUGUGUGCACGCAUGCACACACACACACUGUUCAUUAAAAUCUACAAAGAGAGAAUGAUCUCAAAAAAAGUUUGAAUUCCUAUAGGAAUCCAGGCUAGGAAAGAGAAGCGUUGUCAUAUAUUUUUUUCCCCUGGGAGACAAAAAGCAGGAAGGUUGUUUGUUUUGCUGGGUUUGAUUUUGGAGGCAGAUAGAAUAUUCAAUUACCUCUCUGUUUAUGUAUCGUGUUGCUGAAAAUCUGGCCCUAUUGUUGUGAAGGAAAAGAUGUAGUGGAAUUCUUGUCCUGGAAUUGCACUCUGAUGCUUAUGCAAGGCACGCAGACUGAGCAUUCAGUGCUCGAGUGGUCCUGCUGAGCCUGGGGGAAUGCACGGGGAACUCUGUCUUGCAGUGAGAUCCUGUCUCCAUUAAAUCUUCUGGAGUUCUGCCACGGAUUAGAAGACGAUUUACCCUUCACUUGUAAGUAAUUAAGAUGAUAGUGGAGUUUCUGAAUUUUCCAACUUUCUGAGAACAAACUAAUAGCAGUGAUCCACUUCAAUAAUUCAGAUAUUAAUCGAGGCGUGAGAAACAAUACAUCAAAAAAUAAUUAAGCUUAUGUUAAUUAAUUUUUAGAAAUAGGAAGGACACCUGAGGCAAAGUGCAGACAUUGGCAAGUGUCUUUAGAUUGGGAAGGCUGUCUAGAGCAGUUCUGAAACCAAAAUGGGUCAGAAGGACCACGAGUGAUGUGCAGCAGGGUCUGAGAAGUAACGUAAUUAUGGGAUUGUCAGUGAGAUGCAAAAAAGGCAACAAAGAUGUAUGGGCUUUUCCAUAGCAGCCAGAGGUGAAUCAGCAGUUAAAGGUAUCUACUGUUAUUUUAUGUCAGCACCAUCAGUGCGUUAAUUGUUGUCAUUAUCAAGGCUCAAACGUGUAUCUUCCAGUCUUAAGCUGAACUACUGACAGUGCUUUUACUGAGGUGUUUCUUAGAUAAAAUUUAGUAAAGUAUCAGCUUUUUUCCUUACAGGUUUCUACAGCUGUAACUGGAAUUUCACAUCUCACCCAGGCUUCUCUUCCUUGGUAUUUCUGAUAUAAUUCUCCUCCUCUGUGGUAUUUACUGCAGGAAAAGAAAGCUGAACCUACAUGUUACCAUGGUCCAAAUUUUAAAAUUUUACUUCUCUGCACUGUGAAGACAGAAAAAUCCGCAAUGAACCAUGAAACUUUCCACUUCCUCUUUAAAAGUUAAUAAGUUAAAGGCACAAACCUCAUUUGUUCUGCUGCUCUUCAUGCUUGCCUACUUUUAAUGGCAUUAUGCUUGCAGCAAAAGCCACAAAGGUUUUAUGUGCCACCAUGGGCAUGCCAGAAAGUACGCUGAGCAACACGGGCUCCUCGCAGGAGGAGAGCAGAUGGGGGUCUGCCACCAGUGGCCCUGAGAGCUGCCAGAGCGAGCAGGGGAUGCAGCUGGAUUGUAACCCCAAGCCUCUUUCUCCUAGAGGGAGCCACAGAGUCCUGUUUGAUCUCGCUUGGGCAACUUGAAUUCAGAUUGAAGUGACGUUAUUUUUAGGAAUCUCUCAUCCCUCUAAAAAUAUUUCCUUUCAGAGUAUAUAAUUCCUGCUAUUAAGUUUUCAAAUUUUCAGUAAACAUAUGUGUGUAUAUAUAUAAUUUGCCACUCUCUUUCAUUUCCACAACGGCCUAAUUUCCUGCUAUUGGUAUUAUUAAAAGUAAAAUGCCAAAUUGGAAGUGAGACAGAAUUAUGCCAGACAAGAAGUACAUAACAACCCCCUUUUUUUUCUUAAUCUUUUUCAGGUGAAUCUAUAUUUAUUUCCAAUCCAACCUUGUGACAGGCUACGGAGAAGGAUCCUUAGAGACCGUAUUACUGAUUCUGCAAGUCAUGGUUAUAGGUUUUUUUUCCCCUGAACAGUUAUCUGAAGGAUCCUAUGUUUUGCUUUUUCCCAAUUAUUUCUGUAAUUUAACUAUAUCUGCUUCAGUGAUCCUGAAGGAUAGGACUUACGCUUAAAGAGGAUACUGAUGGGGUCCAACUGUAUUAUGUUUUAGGAAGCUUUAAAAAUAGGUGUUUCUGAUUUAAGUGAGGUGAAAUGAAAGAGUUCUCUCUCUACAGUGACAUUACCUGCUAAGUGACAACUUAUCAGCUUUGUGUGCCUAUCUGAUUUUUCUCAUUGUCUUUCUUCAAGUAGGGAAGAGAUCAGAUGAAUGUUUCCUCUUUGAAAGUAACAGAUUUUGUUAAUUAAAAAUGUUCUUAGGUGAAAUAAGUUGCCAACGGAAUAAAAAACACACACAUUUUACAGAGUAGAUGUAACUACCAUACUCUUUAUUUAAAAGUACACACAAAUAAAAACAAGACAAUACAAUUAAUGGGGGAAAAAACAUACGUAGCGCACUGAAGUUCUUUAGUUGCACAGUUUAACGCUAUAGAAAUUACAACCAGCAGAAUUAGUUUUCACUAACGUUACAGAUAGUUCCUGUUUACUGGGUCAAAUACUAAAAGAUCCUCAUGGACUUUGGCAAUUGGCACAAAGUACAAAAAUAAUGUCACUUAGGAAGCUACAGCUGUAAUGAAUGAGGAAUAAUUUCUGACUAAAAUGCAACAUGACUCUUUUCAUCCUAAUUGCUUAAAAAAUUGUAAAUAAAAUGACUAGGCAAUAAAAAAUGUUUAUGAUGACUGUUCUCACACACAGGCAUGUGCAGAGCUUGGACAGAUCUCCUGUUGGCCUCAUUCUUUGAAGAUCUGUCACCAGUGUUUGAGAAGAGUCAUGGCCUUUAGAUGUGUGCAUGGACUGGGUGAUUAGACUACUUAUUCAUAGGUUCUUCCCCUUCUGCAGCUAGGCUGCAUGCCUCACAUCUUUGGGCAACUGCAGAAAGAAGCUGGAGCUGGUGUGUUACUGCUGUCAGCUGUACCGUCCACUAGUUUGAGAGGCCUUUCCUUAUCCUAUGAACAACUUCCACUGGAUGCAAGUGCUUCAAUGGAAUCAAAUGUCUCCCCUGUGAACAGCUGGAUCCAGGUACUGGAGAUUUCUCUUUGACCUUUCUUAAAUGGAGUUGCUUAAUUGAGACAUCCAGGCAGAAACCAAUACUUUUAGAGUUGCCUUCACCAUUUAAAAUAGGAAAACUGCUAAAAUCCAAUUUUACCUUAAUAAAUAUUAUUUGCCUUUUAUAAUGUUACAGUUGUAUAUUACUGCAUUUGUACAGCAGACUAACACAGCCUUUGAUAUCCAUGGCAGACCUACAGAAUAGUAGACUUUUCAGAUGCUCUUGAGUGCUAUUUGCACUUCUCUGGGUGCUAGAAAUCCUGGCCUCUUGACAGACACUUCAACACAGCAAGUUCCUGCAUGGUCUGGCAACCUCGACACCCCAAACAAAUCUACAUUUUCCUGCUGAAGAUAGUCCUACCCCUCCUCAUUUGCUUCCACCCCUGAAGCCCUGUCCAGUCCUGCACCAUUUGACACAAUUUAGCUUGCAGUGCGGAGGAGUAUUUUUGCAGAGUUGGUUUCCUAGCAUAUGUGUAAGUCAAGCUCAUUGAGAUGUCAGGUUAGCUCAGCUUCUGGUCAGACCACACCUACUGCUCGAGCCUGCUCCCACCUUGCAAAAUUUGUACUCUGGUAGCCAUUCAUCACAGGAUAGGGAGGUGCUUUCUGGGGGAUGGUGAUACAACCCCAGCCAACACCUUCCUCUAACCAUUGCUGCUUCCUUGACAAUUUCACACUAGGCAAGGAAUAAUUUCUCUGUUCAUGUUCAACAGGAUGAACUCAAGUCAGGCAACUACCUCCAACUACCUUGUGCUGACAAAUGAAACCUCUCAAGUCAACCUGCCAGUUUGUCCUGCAGUCCUGUCAAAAGAUUCUAUUCCUAAGCAAACGGGUCUAUAUGCGAUGCAGAAAUUGAGUGCAAUCCCUAUGAAUAGCAGCUGAAUCUCUUUUCAUGUUUGCUAAGGUUUAAACUGAAGAUGAAGGCCAACAUUCAGGAUGAGGUUGGAUUUGAGUAAAUGUGGUCUGAUUCAAAACCUUGACAUUAUUUUGUUUUUCUUUGGUACCACACAAAUAUUUUGUUUAAAAACCAGAACCAUAUGGCUCUCCAGAUUUUACUGAAGUUGUUCCACUACUUGACUGUAUUGCCUCAAAUUCAGAAGACACCUCCCUGAACUGUUUUUUGUGUCCUAGUUACUUCUUCAGGCCUGUGAUUUACAGGUAUUCUGCUUGUUGCCCUUUUAGUUUUAAGGUAACUUGUUGAACUGAUUCCCUACCAGUCCUUCAAUUUAAAUCCCAGCCUUUUAAAACAACUGAGUUCCAGUUUUUACAGAAUACAGUACAGAAUACACCGCACCAGCGUGCAUUCCUGCCUAUCUUGUCCAGUUGCAUUCUAGACUUCUGUAUGACAAAAAAACCACUUUAUGGAGGAACAGUGUAACACACAUGUGAACACUGAGCUGGACCACAUACCAACAAUCCUUCAGUAAUACCUUCCUUUAAAGACAGGGUCACUGGCAGAAGGGCCUAUUGAAACCAGAAAUAAUAUAUUGUAACUCAGAAGUUUCAAAGGAGUGUACAAACAGAAAAGACAUUUCCAUGUACUGCUGGCACUGCACCUGACAGAAGAUGAGUUAACUGGUGCACUUCCUUCAGAAUUUGUGCAACUCUAAGAUGUAAAGCAACAAGAUGCAGUUACAGUGCUCAAAUAAAGCAAUGAGCUAAAAACUGGAGAGGUGUUAGUUGUAGCUUUCUUUCUAACUUGCACGAUCUUUCACAGCCUUCCCUAAAGUUUCAUCAGAAUCUCUCCUAAACUCCUCUGCUAUUUACAGUAAAGUCUGUAUCUCAACUGUGAAAUGGCCACAUUUUGGAGUAUGGUAAAGUUAUUCUUGUCAUGUAUAGACCAGUUGUGCUUUAUCUACGUAGCUCAACUUAGAUACAACACAUCCUUUUCUGCAAAUAGACUGGGAACUGGUCACUGGACCUACAGUUUACCAGAAGAAGCCUAGAAAGAGGGCUUUAAGAGGGAAGGCUUUUCAAUAAUGUACCUGUCAAGGUUAGUUUAUUCAGGUCACAUACUGAGACAUGACAUUUGAUGAUUAAUCUCAAAUAAGAGGAAACAGUGGCUCCUCUGAUUGGGCAACAAACUCAGCCUCACUGGUGAUCUCAAGUCAGUGCUAAUUCAGCAAGAAGACUACCACCUAACAGAGCUCCCAUACAGUACAGAUGCAAUACCUGUUAGAUUCAGGGCUUUUCUAGAUUGAUUUCAUUCUAGUAUGUCGAUAGACAAAAAGCUACAACUAGUAUCUUUUCUUGUUUCCUUUUAUUCUUGAAUAUUUUUGUUUUUUGUUUCGCAUGUGUUCUUUAUCUUCACUGCAAAGCUGCAAACUAAAACUUUCUUAUCAGGUUUUUAUUCAACAUUUGCAAAUCUUUUUGCUUCUUUUUUUUUUUUGUAAUAUAGCACAUCUAUUUCUUUGGCAAAUUUCUUGUAACUUAACUUUCUCUUUUAAUACUCACAUCUAUUCUAUUAUUCUUCUCUUUUUAAUCUGAAUUUAAUAUUAACAUCACAGCAUCCCCCUAAUUUAAAGAAUUGGACUAGAAACGUUGGUGGUCCUCAGCUGGUCCUCAGUUCUAUUAACAUCCGAGUCUUAAUGAGCUAAAAAACUCUCAAUGUAUAAAAGCAACCCCAAUAGUUGUAUUUCAGAUUAUUCUGUCCUUAAGCACUGCAGCUAUGCCACAAGCCUGCAAACCAAUCCAUACAGGUAAACUUUUAGAUCAGCAGUGGCUUGCUGAAGUCACAAGAGCUCUCAAAAUACAUCCAAUUGUAGAAGCAAUUCCAGUUUAGGUCCUAGACAACAUACUUCAUCUAAAACAAAAAAAACUGAUACUAUUUAGUAAUACCCUUUUAAUUAGCAAGGCCCGUUUUCUUAAUGUCAUUCCCACCUUCCCAGUAUACAAACAGGAAUCAUUUCUUGUACAGUUCAAUCUUUAAAUGAACUGUAUCAGAAGUUCAAAGUUACUGUAAUAAUUCUGAUUCCAGCAUGACAGUGUAUCAUCCAAUUCACUAAAAAUGUCUAAUGCUGUACAGGAAAUUUCAGAUUUAAACCAGCUGUAGAAGACUUUUUUUAGAUCCUACAGCAGCCUUACACUGCACAUAAUCUCGCAUUUUCAUCUUGCCCCUGAAACUUGCUUGUGUAUAUAUAUGUAAUCCUUUUUAAGGUUGUGUAUUCUAGCUUAUACUGGUCAAAAAGUAUUUCUGACAUUAUCAUAUUAUUACGCCAAAUAAGCGUGACUUCUGUUCCUAGUCACUACUUGUGCUUCUUAGGGAGUACUGAAACUAAAAUAAGUAAGACUACAAAACAUGCAGUAAGAGCAAUCUUCUGCUGAUGGGAAGAUACUGCUGGCUUCCUCCAUCGUGACUUCCUGCCAUUACAUUCACAUUAUCAUGGUCUGUUUUUCCUGGUCUGUGAUAGUUUUGGGCUAAGGCUGGGCACUUACUGCAAGGUCAUAGUGAUGGGCUGAUUCAGAAGCACUGUUUAUUCUCCGUUUGGAGAAUAUGCUGACAAUCCUGGCCAGCAGAAUUCCCUGGCUAGCCGAUAGCUUCAGCUACCUAGCACAAACACGGACAGAUAAGAAUAUGCUUAACCUAUCUCCCAUGGAAUUCUCAGUGACAACAGUUCUUCAGCCCAGUGCUUUUCAACCUCAUUCACAGACCUCCAGAAUUCUCUAUGAAAGAUAACUAAGAAAAAAGCAUGCUCUGGGGAGCCUGGAAGCUGAGGGUCGCCUGCUGCCAUGGCCUACGUGCUGCUGCAUCACGCCUCAGAUGUGGGGCAGCCGAGGCCACGCUGGGCUGGUGCACCCUUAAGGGAACCCCUCAUGAGCUCUGGGGGUGCGACAGAAGCAGGCCCUGCCAAUCGUCUGUGCACCAUCACGUACACGGACAGUGCUUUAUACCGAUUUCCUGUCAGAGUUCAGUUUCCUACGUUUCCUCGUGUUGCAAAACACGAAGGACAGAGCAGCCAACCGAUCAUAAGGGGAAUCUUGUCAGCGCCCAUUACUGUGACUGAAAGAAGCCCGUGUGCGAGAAUAACUGCUUGGCCCCUUCUCUGAGGCUCUGCUGAGCCCUCGCGUCUCUGGAGGGCUGUGCCUGACGCGGGAGCCGCUCAGCCGGCCGCCAGGUGCGAGCCGCGGCCGCCAGCUCCUUACGUAACGGCCGCGCUCCGCCGAGGCGCG